rnacentral:rRNA from 1 species
UACAGAGGGUGCGAGCGUUUGUCCGGAAUCACUGGGCGUAAAGGGCGCGUAGGCGGCUUGAUAAGGUUGCGGUGAAAGCCCGGGGCUCAACCCCGGGUCGGCCGUGGCAACUGUCGAGCUGGAGCACUGUAGAGGCAGGUGGAAUUCCGGGUGUAGCGGUGGAAUGCGUAGAGAUCCGGAAGAACACCGGGUGGCGAAGGCGGCCUGCUGGGCAGUGGCUGACGCUGAGGCGCGACAGCGUGGGGAGCAAACAGG